rnacentral:rRNA from 1 species
UACGUAGGGUGCAAGCGUUGUCCGGAAUUAUUGGGCGUAAAGAGCUCGUAGGCGGUCUGUCGCGUCGGCUGUGAAAACCCGGAGCUCAACUCCGGGCCUGCAGUCGAUACGGGCAGACUGGAGUUCGGCAGGGGAGACUGGAAUUCCUGGUGUAGCGGUGAAAUGCGCAGAUAUCAGGAGGAACACCGGUGGCGAAGGCGGGUCUCUGGGCCGUAACUGACGCUGAGGAGCGAAAGCGUGGGGAGCAAACAGG